rnacentral:rRNA from 1 species
UACGGGGGGAGCAAGCGUUGUUCGGAUUUACUGGGCGUAAAGGGCGCGUAGGCGGCCUGUGCAAGUCAGUUGUGAAAUCUCCGGGCUUAACUCGGAACGGUCAACUGAUACUGCUCGGCUAGAGUGCGGAAGGGGCAACUGGAAUUCUUGGUGUAGCGGUGAAAUGCGUAGAUAUCAGGAGGAACACCGGUGGCGAAGGCGGGUCUCUGGGCCGAUACUGACGCUGAGGAGCGAAAGCGUGGGGAGCGAACAGG